rnacentral:rRNA from 1 species
UACAGAGGGUGCGAGCGUUGUCCGGAAUCACUGGGCGUAAAGGGCGCGUAGGCGGUCUCUUAAGCGUGUGGUGAAAGCCCGGGCUCAACUCCGGGUCGGCCGUGCGAACUGGGGGACUGGAGCUUGUCAGAGGCAGGCGGAAUUCCGGGUGUAGCGGUGGAAUGCGUAGAGAUCCGGAAGAACACCGGUGGCGAAGGCGGCCUGCUGGGACAGUGCUGACGCUGAGUGCGCGAAAGCCCAGGGGGAGCAAACGGG